rnacentral:misc_RNA from 1 species
GCACGUGUCAAUAUCAUACAUGAUUAAGAACAGAGAUUGCCGAAAAUUACACAAGGACGUCAGCUGAUAAGAAAUUGUGAUUGUCAAUUAAACAACCUUCUUCUUUGAGCAAAAGUCUCUUAUCGCGGCACUGAGAGUCCUAACUCCUGAGACAACGAUCUGGAGCCCUUGGAAUCAAUACCAAGGCAAGAUGUGAGUCGAGCUGCAGAGACAGCAGUGUGGAGCGGCAGCAGAGAUUGAAGACAACCCAUUUGAGGCAAUGGCCUUGAGAGUGUUGGAAAUGGGCGAGGAACGUUAAAAGAGGAAGUGGGCAUGCUUGAUUGUUUGUUCAUUGUGGAUUUGACAAAGUUAAUUGCUGGUCUUGAGAAUGAACGACAGCGAGAAGCCAUUGCAGAUGAAG